rnacentral:lncRNA from 1 species
GAAGAGACCAGAAGUCAUAUACCAAUGAAAAGUCUAUAAUUUGAUAACUUUGAGAUCUCCAUGAGACUCCAAAAUAGAAGCCCUCCAACGAUGAUCCACACAGGAUUGAUCAGGGCCCUUCCCAACUCGACAUGGUGUUGCAGCCUUUUUCGCAAGUGCACUGCCGAUUGUCCUUUACAAGAAUUGAUUGCACCACAGCUUGUACACCUUCAUAACCUCCACUAAGACCUCUUUAGGAACCUUUUUCCAAAAGAUCAUACCACAC